UUUUCGACCUGAACUCAGACGUGAAUACCCGCUG
rnacentral:rRNA from 1 species